rnacentral:lncRNA from 1 species
GCUGGCCCCCCUUUCCUGAAGUGCCAGGCAGGAGGUAAACAGCCUCUUGUGGGCCAGGAGGGAAAGGGCCGACCUUCAAAGGCAGAAGAGUCCUCAUUGCAAAUGCAAUUUUGGUGUCAUUGAUGAGAGAUCUGGGAUUACGAUUUCUGGCCACUUUAACAGACAUUUGGGGAAGGAAACAGAAUAAUUUUGAGGACUCUCCAAAAACCCAAAGAGAAAAAUGGCAGAAGCUCUUCAGCAUCCUCUAAGGAUUGUGGGAAUUCAGGAUGACCUUAUCCACUCUGCUGUGCCACUAGCAACUGGACAG